rnacentral:rRNA from 1 species
GACGGAGGAUGCAAGCGUUAUCCGGAAUGAUUGGGCGUAAAGCGCUCGCAGGUGGCUGUUCAAGUCUGCUGUCAAAGACCGGGGCUUAACCCUAGAAAGGCAGUGGAAACUGAACGGCUGGAGUGCCGUAGGGGUAGAGGGAAUUCCAAGUGUAGCGGUGAAAUGCGUAGAGAUUGGGAAGAACACCGGUGGCGAAAGCGCUCUGCUGGACUGCAACUGACACUGAGGGAAGAAAGCUAGGGGAGCGAAAGGG